GGAGAGAUGGCCGAGUGGUUGAUAGUCCGGUCUUGAAAACUGGUAUAGUUCGAAACAAAGAACUAUCGAGGGUUCGAAUCCCUCUCUCUCCU
rnacentral:tRNA from 1 species